AGGGAAUAUAGUGAAGAAUAUUGUAAUAACUAUGUAUGGUGCCAGGUGGGAACAGGAAAUAUUGGGAGGAGCACUUUGUGAAUGUGAGUGUCUAAGCCAGUGGUGG